GCUAAACGCGAAGAACCUUACCUACCCUUGACAUGCCAGGAACCUCGCAGAGAUGUGAGGGUGCCCGAAAGGGAACCUGGACACAGGUGCUGCAUGGCUGUCGUCAGCUCGUGUCGUGAGAUGUUGGGUUAAGUCCCGCAACGAGCGCAACCCUUGCCAUUAGUUGCUACAUUCAGUUGGGCACUCUAAUGGAACUGCCGGUGACAAACCGGAGGAAGGUGGGGAUGACGUCAAGUCCUCAUGGCCCUUAUGGGUAGGGCUUCACACGUAAUACAAUGGCGCAUACAGAGGGCUGCAAACCCGCGAGGGGGAGCCAAUCCCAAAAACGUAGCGUCGUAGUCCGGAUUGUUCUCUGCAACUCGAGAGCAUGAAGUCGGAAUCGCUAGUAAUCGCGGAUCAGCAUGUCGCGGUGAAUACGUUCCCGGGUCUUGUACACACCG
rnacentral:rRNA from 1 species